AUCUAGAAGAUGAGUCCCAAGUAGGACGAAACGUCCGUUCUAGAU
rfam:Schistosoma curassoni strain Dakar, Senegal genome assembly, scaffold: SCTD_scaffold0009596